rnacentral:tmRNA from 1 species
GGGGACGUUCUGGAUUCGACAGGGGUUAUUGAGCACUUUAAGCGUGUCGGAGGUUUCGACUUCGUUACGAACGAUACUCAGUUAUAAUAACUGGCAAAACUAACAAUCUCGUAGCUGCAUAAUUUCAGCUACAUCGUCUCGUACGUUUUCUUGUGACCUACUGAGACGAUUCAACUUUAGCAAGAUAUACUAGAAGUCUUCCGUCUGCAGACUUCUAGAAGAACUUAAUCAGACUAGCAUGAAUUGUGGAACGUUCUCUUCCGGCGUUCAUGCGAAACUUUAAUUGAGAACUACACACGUAGAAAGAAGUGUAGCAAGAUCCUUGGACGCGGGUUCGACUCCCGCCGUCUCCAUAU